CCUGGAUGCAGCCCAGAUGGGAAGCAGAAGUGCCCCGGGGUGCCCUGGCAAUCAGGCCAGAUCCCCCGUGGGGCGCGCUGGGACCGGCACGGGGCCCAGCCGCCCUCCCGCUGCGACGCGCAUGCUCCAUGUCCCCCACCCGCCGCGCCUGGUUCCCACGCCGCCGCCGCCGCCGCCGCCGCCCCGGCCCCGCCCGCUCCCCGCCCGCUCCCCGCCCGCUCCCCGCCCGCCUCCCGGCCCUGCUCCUGGCUCUAGACAGAGGAGGACGGACAGCCUCGCAGAACGCGCCUCCUGAGAGCGGCGCCCAGGGACCAGGUCGAGACCGGGCGGGGAAUCCCGCCAUCUCCUGGGGCCGCUGUCCCCGAGGGCUUCUCGGAGGCGGCAGCCUUGGCCUUGGGCCUGCCGGGGGUGGGGGUUAGGACCGACAGCCCGGCAGCGGCCCGCGGAGCCCCAGUGUGCCGGCCUGGCAGGGCUGUGGCGGCCCAGAGCGGGACCCUGCGGAGGCGGGGGGGUGGGGGGGGGCGCGUCUCGGCAGGCAGGUGGCCAUGGGGCGAGGGAGAGGACCCCUGGAAAGCAGCCUAUGUUUAUUGACUGCGAUUCGCCUCUGAUCCUGGAGCUGGCAAGGGAGCCCCCGGCGGGUAAGUUUGGAUUUUGCGCCCGUGUGUGUGGGUGCGCUGGGCAGGCCGGCAAUUCGAGGUGGCGGCACUCCUGCCCAGGGGCACCUGGCGAACUCAGCAGGCACAGGUGGUAAGGGUCCCAGACGUGUCCUGGCCGCUAGCUAUCAAGGGGGCGGCGGGGGGGGGGGGGCGGUGGUGCCCCCCUUUGGUGAGACCGUUGGUGGUGAGGAGCUCCCCAGAAGAAGGUGUAGGAAGAGGAAGCCAGGGGUGGGAUGGAGGGCCUGCAAGAUCAAGAGAGGGAGGGAGCGAGCUGAGCGGGGAAGGAGCUCCAGCAGUCCUCCAGUCCCACAGACGUGUGCCUGGCAGCCCCUGCGGGCCAGGCCCCUGCAGGCAUUGGCGAUAUGGCAGGGAAGAAAAUGGCAAAACUCGCCCCACGUGGGUCCAGGCCUAGUGGCAGGGCGCACACGACAGGACAGCCAACAUCUUAAAUGAAGGAUGCUAGAGUGUGUUCAUCGGUGGUAAGUGCCCUGGGGAAACUAGAGCAGAGGGAAGGAGGUGAGGGGUUGGGUCGCAAGUCUGAGUAGAUGAGGGUAUUUCAGAAAACCUUGAAGGAGAUGAGAGCGUGUACCGGACGGAGGGAACAACCAGUGCAAAGGGCCUGAGGUAUGAGUGGACUGGUGUGUGGAAGGGAAUGCGCAGAGGACGGUGUGGCAGGAGCAGAGGGAGCAAGCAGGUGGGAGGGGGGCAGGGCGAGGCCAGGAGGGGCCACAUGGGUCUACUCUGAGUCAGAUGGGCACCCCGGGGAGGGCCGUGAGCAGGCAAGGACAGAACCCCAUUAGGAGGUGGCCCUGUUUACCAUCAGUUCAGCCUCUGCCCCUCCCCCGCCCCCCACCGCCCAGGACAGGGGAGACCCCAGUUGCAAGGCUGAUCCUCAGAUGAUCCUUAGAGGGCUUUGUUGGGUGGAGCAGCGUGGAAGGCCCUGGGGUGACCUGCGGCCUCCCUAGGCCCAGGGCCCUGGGGCCGACCCCCCCAGCGGGCUGCAAGCGCUGAGGUCCCCAGGGAAGGCUGCCGGAGCCAGGAGGAGGCAGCCGGGGUCUGGAAGUGCCAGGCCUCAGAGGAAGUCCGCCAGGAAGGAAGAAGCCUGACUGCAAGAGGCCUGGCGCCACUCCUCCUCACAGAUGAAGAAGCCCCAGUUCCUGAUCCCAGUUCCUGUGUGGGGUCGCCUCCUGCCUUUCCUGGGUUUACAGGAAGCGUGCAUACCAUUUUCUCCCUACGUGCUUCAAGAAGGAAGGACAUUUCCUCCCAUGACCCAGGGCCGUUAUCCAUCCAACCCAUGCCCGGCGCGGGCUCCUGCUGUCGUCUGAGAGCCGCUGCACAGUCACCCUCCAGGCCCCCACUGCCUUUGACUCCUCUUUCCUUCACGCCAGCAUCUCAUCAAGGACUUCGUUACGCUUGACCAUUGGCCGUCUGGUUAUCUUUUCAUCUGAAGCAGCCUCUCUCCCCGGCCUCGUCUUUUCCCCCUGGCGCUGAGACACGCAGGGGACCGACCGGGAACAGCCCACCUUCUAGAUUGGGCCGGUUGCUCCCUUGUAGCUAGUGUCUUUAAGUGGUCCCUCUGUCCCCAGUAUCCUUUAUAAACCGGGUGUGGGGGCACAAGGCUGCACUAGAAUUGGGUCCAGCUUUGGCAAGAGCCUUGUGCCCUCCCUGGGGUGGCAUCGUCACAGGAGGCGUGUCCGACCUGUGUCCAGCAGCCGUUCGCUUAGCUUUCUGUCUCGGGACCAGCGGUAAGCAGGGGAAGACAUCUUGACAUCGUGCGGCUAUCCACGCCUCCUAGGCCUGUCACCCGGCGGUUUUCGCGUCCACUCCGCCUUAAGGGAUUCUUUCCAUCUGAUUAACGUAAAUGUCUUCAUCAGACACAUGAGUUUAUUUCUUCUGGGCUAGUGUUGGUUGACAGCUCGUCACUGGCGAUAAGGGACCUUGCGGCAAUUUAAAUGCUCCGGGACCCCGUCCCCCCAUCCUCUCUCCUGUAGCAUGAAUAAGCUGGAGUCACCCACGCAGCAAAAGCAUCCUGGGCCCGCUCCCCACCAGCCACUGCCUGGCUCUUCCGCUUCCCCACCGGGGAAUUGCACAUUCUGGCCUCCAGCUGGGUGCGGAGCACAUCCUUGGAGCAAACUUUCUUUGGCCCCGCUGUUUCCUGGCACUGAGAGCCGGUGCGGAGGAAUCAGACACUGCCCGCUCUGUCCCUGACAGACGCUUCCUGCCCUUGGUGUGAGCCCCUGCUGCCUCCUGUCCCCAAGGCGCACACGUGGUCUCUCCCCUUUUGCACCCCCACCCCGGCCCCAGUCUCAGCCCCGGGACCGCCCGGCUUGGGCCCACCCAAGGGCCAGAUAUGAGCCAUGCCUUUAGCCUGCUACUCUCUUUGCUCACCCGCAGCCUUCGGCUCUCAGCCUGAACGUGACUCCUUCAGAGAGCACCCCUCCCCUAGCUAUCGUGGCUCCCUCCAUAGUGCGUUUCGCUAGCCUGGUCUUCCUCUGUUCCUUGACACUGAGGUUGUUUACAGGUGGAGUGGUAUGUGUGUGUUGGGAGUUUUUCUGUAAGGACCCUGACCUGAGAGGAAAAGGGGUCAGCAGUGGAGCUUCCGGGGAUGGCUGGAAAGUCGGGGUGCAGGGGUCCUGCCCCCAUGGGAAGAAAGGAAUGAGAAAGAGGAAGCCAAGGCUCACCGGAGGUGGGCAGGACUCCCUGUCUGGCGGCCCACCGCCCAGGUGAGGGGAGAGGGCGGCAGCUCGGUCUGGGAAAGUGUUAUGGGUUGGAUUGUGUCCCCCAAGAGAGAUGUGUUCGAGUCUUGCCCGCCAGCAGCUGUGACUGGGACCUAACCUGGAUGAGGUGGUGCUGGACUAGGGCGGGCCUCAUCUCGCACUUGGCUUUUGCCAAUCCCCUUAGCUUGUUUGUACCCCCGCGAUGGCAGCCAUUCUCUUGAAGGCCGGACCCAAGGUGAGCGGGGCUCCCUGACCGUCUCCGUCCGCCCCCUCAUCAUGCCCCAGCCUCACAGCUCUGGCAACCCCGAGUCUCCCCUUAGCUGCUGAGUUCUCUGGGUCCCCACCCCCACCCCCACCCCCACCCCCACCCCCACCCCAUGUUUGGUUGCCGCCCGCCCAUCCUGCGACCCAUGGGGCUGAAUUCCCCUGCAGCCCUGGGAAUUUCUCACUUUAGGUGCCGGUAUCGUUUGAAGACGUGCCCGUGUACUUCAUCAAGACAGGAUGGAAGCUUCUGGACCUCAGUCAAAGGAUCCUCUCUACAAGAGAGUGUUGCUGGAGAACUACCGCCAUUUGGUGUCACUGGGUAAGGACCUCACACCCACGUCCAGUCGCCGCUACUGGAUCUCUGAACGGAAUCGCUUGUUGGUUACCGUAAGCCCGAGAAUACGUGCAUUGACCCCUAAGUGGUAACCGCACGGGCCCCCAUCGUAGUACUUUUGCAUAGAAAGUCGUGGGUUGACUAGACCUCUUCUACCCAAAAGGUGGACGCACGUUAUCCUUGAAUGUGUACGUGCGCUCUUUGAGACUUCAUUUAUUUUUAUCAAGGCUGCACUGUACAGAGUUUACCAGUUUCUGUUCCUUGAGCCAAGCCAGGCCAAGAGGCCCAGGAGAAGAAGAGCGUUUGGUUUUGCAGCCUGAAUCAAUCCAGAAAGGAGCUGGGGUGCCCCCCCCCCCGCUGCAACUCACUGCAACUCACUGCGACUCACUGCGACUCACUGCGACCCACUGCCUGCGGGGCUGCAGGGGGCCUGUUUCCUCCAUUUCUUCUCUCCAGAUUUAAACUCUAUAAUCUAACCACACACAGGGAGACUACUUUCUUCCCCUUGGUUCUUUCUGACCCUCACUGGGCAGAUGCAGGGUUCACAGCGCAGUUCCGGAAUCGUCAGUCGAUGCCACAUGUCCCAGCAGCCUCCUGACCUCCCUGCAGGCCAAGGAAUAACACCGUUAUCCUGCUGGCCCCAAUCACCACCUACUUGGGGCUCCGCGUGCCCACCUGGCCCCCAUGCAUCCAAAGUCCAUGCAUCCAGAGUCCAUGGCGGUGCCCAUGUUGCUGCUCAACCUCGUAGACCAGCUGGGGGAGGCGGACGAGGAGCUGGCGGGCAACUACGCGGAGCUGGGGGACUGGUGCGCCCAGAGGAUCCUGCAGCAUGUUCAGGACAGCCACUUUGGUGGUGGUAGCAGGAUAUCCUGCUUGGAGAUGGUCGGACUUGGCAGGUGCCUGGAGGAUGAACUUCAGAAAGGUGUGGGAGAUGCAUUUGGCCAACUGUCACUAUCAGGGAGUGAACUUCUCAAAUUCAAGAAGAAUUUGGAACUCUGUCUCCGAAUGCUACUGUUAUUAUAAUUUUGUCGUCCACUUUCACCCUCCGACUGUCAGGGUCGGCCUUCCUCGACAGGGGCCAUGGUCUCAGCUGCCGGCACCUGUUUCUCGGGUUCCCGCGCCAUGUGCUCUCAGGCUUUACAACGGCAGCUGCAUGAUGCCUAACGCUUUUCAAGCAGCCCACUGGACUUCGGAAGAAAAGUUUCAGUAGCAUGUCUUCCAGAAGGAACUUGGUACCUAGGAUAAACAGUUUGGUCAAAUCUCAGAAAAUCUUUGUGUUUAGUUACUAUAGCAGUCCUUGUGACAGCAACUAUUUCCCUAAAGCACGUUAUAAAGUCUGGUGUGAAGGGUAUUUAGUCGAGAUCAAAUGUGUUUUAAGAGCCUUGUUUUUCCCUGAAACUUGGUUCCUUUCUUCAUGUGGUACAUUCUUUAUUAUUUCAAGAUCAGAGAUGAUUUAUCAAAGAAACAGUUGUAUACAAGUUGGGAGAUAGUUCCUCCUGGAAGUUCUGCUUUAUUUCAUCCUGGCAAAAAUGAGAAUUCUCCAUAGGACUUUUUCCGAAAACACUCACGGCCUACGUGGAAUCAAACAACUGAAUGAUGCAUCCCAUUCUGAAAGUCAUUCUACUCAGUGCUACGAUGGGGUCCUCAGGGAAGUGGAGGGUCCCGGAGCAGCUGAGUGAAACUGAGGGCAGGAGCGAGGGGGCCAGAAACCGAGGGCACGUUAAAAAGCAGGAAACCUGGGGCGCCUGGGUGGCGCAGUCGGUUGGGCGUCCGACUUCAGCCAGGUCACGAUCUCGCGGUCCGUGAGUUCGAGCCCCGCGUCGGGCUCUGGGCUGAUGGCUCGGAGCCUGGAGCCUGC